GGACGGGCCUCCCCGCAUGGCGGUUUGGAUAACCUGGUCAGGUCGGGAACGAAGCAGCCAAACCCAAUUCUGUCAGUGCCGGGGGUCGGGCUCGUCCACCC
rnacentral:SRP_RNA from 1 species